GUGAACGCUCAUUGGAUUUUCGGCGAAGUCUCUGGUUUGCGUCAGUAGCCAUUAUCGGAUUGCUGCCUUGACACAUUACCCAAAAAGUGAGCUCUUCCAGUUUCAACAUAUCAUCUCUUCAUGAAUCUUUCCAGGAACCCAACAUUUUUUCAUUUUCUGGCACUGUAUCACCAUACCAGCACCUUUUUUGCAUACCAGUAAUGCACAGGCAUUUCUUUGCAGCCUUUAAUAUGACCCACUUGACCAGUGAUGC